rnacentral:snRNA from 1 species
AGCUUUGCGCAGUGGCAGUAUCGUAGCCAAUGAGGUUUAUCCGAGGCGCGAUUAUUGCUAAUUGAAAUAAGCCAGGUAGAGAAAGACAAAUACUAUAUGGUAUCAAUUAUUGAUGUAAAGUCUUUU